GCCUAGUUAGCUUAGUUGGUAGUGCGUGUGCCUUUAAGUGCUAGGCCGCGGGUUCGAUUCCCGCCCGGGGCG
rnacentral:tRNA from 1 species